GGGACGGUAGCUCAGUGGGAGAGCACACGGCUGAAGACCGUGGUGUCGAGGGUUCGAUUCCCUCUCGUCCCA
rnacentral:tRNA from 1 species